UACGUAGGGUGCAAGCGUUAAUCGGAAUUACUGGGCGUAAAGCGUGCGCAGGCGGUGAUGUAAGACAGUUGUGAAAUCCCCGGGCUCAACCUGGGAACUGCAUCUGUGACUGCAUCGCUGGAGUACGGUAGAGGGGGAUGGGAAUUCCGCGUGUAGCAGUGAAAUGCGUAGAUAUGCGGAGGAACACCGAUGGCGAAGGCAAUCCCCUGGACCUGUACUGACGCUCAUGCACGAAAGCGUGGGGAGCAAACAGG
rnacentral:rRNA from 1 species